GUUUUUGUAGUUGAAAUACAACGAUGGUUUUUCAUAUCAUUGGUCAUGGUUAGAACCCAUGUAAAAAUG
rnacentral:tRNA from 1 species